UACAGAGGGUGCGAGCGUUAAUCGGAAUUACUGGGCGUAAAGCGUGCGUAGACGGUAGCGUAAGUCAGAUGUGAAAGCCCCGGGCUCAACCUGGGAAUGGCAUUUGAGACUGCUCUGCUCGGGUGCGGAAGAGGGAAGCGGAAUUUCCGGUGUAGCGGUGAAAUGCGUAGAUAUCGGAAGGAACACCAGUGGCGAAAGCGGCUUCCUGGUCCG
rnacentral:rRNA from 1 species